rnacentral:tRNA from 1 species
UAAAUAGUAGCCUUGUGGACAUGGCAUCUGCCCGGUAAGCGGAACACUGUGGGUUCGAUUCCCAUCCCUGGACACUUUAU